UUGAGAAUUCACCACGAACUUAAUAAAGCUAUUACUCAACCUUAACAAGAAGAUUAAUAAAUACCCUAAUGUAUUCUAAUCUUCAUUCCAUGCUUGAUUCUUCAUUUCUCGAACAUCUUUACUUCGAUCUUGAUUAAUUCUCCGCUUUAAUCUUCAAUCAAGUAUUCUCUUAGCUCGAGCAUGAAUUACCUUGCAACAGCAUAAAUAAAAUAUACUAUGUCUUUUGUGGUUAGGUCAUCUUCAAAACUCAAGGGUCAACAUCCGUGUUGUAUGAAUCAUCAAGAAUUAGGGACAUGUAUACCAUUAGUUUCAAAUUUUCCAAUUAUUUUCCAAUUAACUAUUGCUCCUUCCAUCCGCUUUAAGAAUUUUACCAUUUGUCUUUCAUUUUCCAUGAUCCCCUAAAGAGUAAGGAGUUUUUGUUGGUUAUUGACUUGGUUAGUGCCAUGGAAAUUAUAUAUACAAUGAAGUAAUUAUAAUGAUUGAAAGGCAUUCAUGUCAUCAUUUACCAUUAUAAUUUAUAACACACUCAACUUUCCUUUGGAUUAGAUGCACCAAUGACUGAAUAACAAACAUAAUCCCUCCCCUAAUCUCUAUCUUAAUCCUCUUGUCUUUGCAAACAAACACACUACUAAUUCUACUACUGCAACUAUUAUCUUAUGGACUAUACAUGUCAGUGAGUCGAUUUUUUUAAUUACGUAAGAUAAAUGGUCUAAGGAUCAACCUUUGCUAGGCCACUAGCAUGUAGGUUACACCAAUUGUGAGGCAAGUCAUAAGAAAACCAUUGAAAAUUCAAAGUGGUACUUUAUUGAGCUAUCACAUCUUCCUGUUCUUUGAGGACUCGAUGAUUUAAACAAUGGGGAUGAUCUUAUAAUAUUACAAAAAGUCUUAAAUCUGCAAACUCAAUUAUGAUUAUCAUAAUAUCAGCGGCUUAACCAUCAACCCAACGUGAUCUUCUAAUUCUUCUCUCAAAACAAUACAAUUUACGAUAAAGUGUACAAAAGAAAAUACUUCCUCCGUUUCUUAAUAAGUGCAACAUAGUGAAAGUGGGAGAAUACCAAGGAAUGUAGAGAGAGAAAGUUGGGACCACAAUAAAGUAGAGUAAUAAGUGAUGAAACAAAAAAUUUGUGGUCCUCUUUUGCUUUUUGGUGGCAUAUUUGUAAUAAUAUUGAACCUUUUUUUACCAUUUUGAGCUUGGUUGCACUGAUUGUGACUAUUCCAAAUAAGGAAAAUGUUGCACUUAUUAAGAAACGGUGGUAGUAUAUAUAAGGAUUUUUAUUUUAUUUUAUUAUACACAUACAUUUCUUUGGUUUCUAUGUCGUAUUCCAGCAUUUUCAAAAUUUCAUACAAAUGUACAAUAUAGUUAACUAGAUGUUUGGGCUUAUUUCCUGGGCUAAGCCAGCCAGAGACAACUAAACCCAACAAAGCCUUAAGCCUCCAGAGGGCCCCACCUGUGAUAGUGCCUCCCAGCUGUCAGUGCCCUCCAGCUGGCCUACAGUUGGGAUAUUCCAAGCACUAUAAAUACUCAACCCCCUCAUCAAUGAGAAGGUAUUGAAUUCUUACCUAACAAACCAGAGCAUCUCUCUCUAGACUUUAUCUCUCUAAGCUUGAUCACUGACUUGAGCGUCGGAGAGGCGAUCCCGGAACAACCCCCGGGGCAGUCUAACCAUUACUUUUGCAGGAUUCUGGCGUACGGACUUUGGACUCAGGACAUUUAGAUCUGACCCGGUACUCCCUAAGCAAAGGAAUUAGCAUCCUCAAUUUCUAGACAGAAACAGUUUGGCGCCGUCUGUGGGGAAAGUACAAAAAGUUACUUCGCCACCACUCAUUAAGAUUUAUUCACUCAGCUACUCAGCUCCGAACGCCAAUUAACAAUGGCACCAACCAAAAACACUCGCGGCAAGCCAGCCUCUGACCAAGUCGCUCGGCCAGAGAGAGGCCACUCGCCCGCGCAUAAUCGGGAACCCCCAAUCCCUCGACCGGAGAGAGGCCACUCACCUGCACAUAAUAGAGAGGCAGAGCAGACCCCCUCUCCGGGUCGGAGGUCACCCACCGUCCAAACUCUGGACCCGCGGUCGGUCUCCCAACAUAUUCAGCAUGUGGAGCCUCAGCCGCUCUUUGCAUCUGACCUGGCCCUUAUCACUGCUCAGCUCCAGGAAACUUUCCAAAAGGGCAUGAUGUACAUGAUGGCCAUGCUCCAACAGAGGCAGCCGCAACAAGUCGUCCCGCUCAAUCAGCAUGAGCCCAGAGAGCGCACAGUCGUCCGCUCCCACAGGGACCACUCUCGUUCUAAUCGGGAUCCGCAGCCUAGCCGGCCACGGUCCGAUGCGAGAGACCCAAGCCACCGAGAAAAAGAAAAGUUGGCACGACAGGGGUCGGCCCGUCUGCAUGCAGAAACCCAUGUAUCUAAAUCCCCAAGGGGGGGGGUGGGUCGGAAACCCCAAGACGCCCGAGAAUUCCUUAACAACAAGAAGCGCCUCAGCCAAGGCUACGACGCCCGGGAGUUCCUCAGGAAGAAACCAAAUGAUCGAGAGGGCCAAGGGACUCGGCUCAUUCUCAUCCUCCUAGGCUAACUGGAGGUGGGCUCAAGUUCUUGAUCCCCUUCAGCCAAAAUAUCUUAGGGACCCAAACCCCGGGGAAAAUCAAAACCCCCCUGAUCGAGCCAUUUGCGGGCCUAACCGACCCAGAUGAUCAUAUGGCUAGUUACAAGGCUCAAAUGAGCGUUCAGACGAGUUGCGAGGCCACCUGGUGCCGUUUCUUCCCCACCACCCUCAAAGGUCUGGCCCUCAACUGGUUCCAAGAACUCCCAGCGGGGGUCAUAACUGACUUCGCCAUACUGGAACACCUCGUCAUCCACCAGUUCGUAGCUGGAAAGAGGCAAAGAAAAACCAGCCUCCAUCUCAUGGGGGUGAAGCAGGACAAGAAUGAAUCCUUGUCGGACUAUAUAAAGAGGUUCAACGAGGAGUCCCUCAAAAUUACCGACCUACAGGACGCUGUAGCCUUCGCUGCCCUCAUGUCCGGUCUUCAACCGGGUCGGCUCCGAUGGUCAUUGGCCGAGAAUGAAGUAAAGACUUACUCGGAAGCCAUGGCUAGGGCCCAAAGAUUCAUCCAGGCAACGGAUAUCUGCCGUUACUCGGAUGAGGGUGGCAAGAAGAGAAAAGUGAAGGAGGUCACCUGGGUCAGCCUAAGCAUCAAAGAACGGGGGGCCGUGGAGAUCGGCUCACCGAUAACGGCUCACCGAUAACGGCAACGACCCCCGAUUCAAUAAAAACCGGAAAGAGAUCUACUUUGACAUCCGGAACAAAAAUUGGCUUCCCAGGCCAACGCCCAUCCGGACAUCAUCGUCUCGGAGGGAUAAAAGCUUAUGGUGCGACUACCACAAGGAAUGUGGGCACACCAUCAAGGACUGUCGAGAGCUCAAGAAAUCCUUGGAUGGUUUGGCCGACCAGGGUAAGCUCAAUCACUACCUAAAGCGCUCGAGCGAAGAAAAGGGGAAGCAAAAGGUGGGUCAGUCGAACAGCGGGGACACGGAAGGAUUCAUCGGUGUCAUCGCUGGAGGAUUCGCGUCGGGAGGCCUAACCGGCCGAGCACGCAAGGCUCACCUCCAAAACCUCAAACAUCAGGUACUUGAUGUCCAGCUCCAUCGAGCUAGUUUCCCCGUCAUGACUUUCGGGGAACCCAGUCGGACGCUGCAAGUUCCGCACGACGACCCCCUAGUCAUCGAGCUCAAGGUAGCUAAUACGAAGGUGAAGAGGGUAUUGGUGGAUAGUGGGUCAUCCGCGGAUAUCAUCACCCUUGACUGCCUCAAAAAGUUGAAGUACACCGAACGGGAUGUUACCCCCAUGGCUCAGCCGCUCAUAGGCUUCGGGGCAACUCUGUCCUCCCGGUCGGAUCAAUAAAAUUACCCACUCGGAUGGGUGAAAAGGGUAAGGGGAGAAGCCUACCGAUCGACUUCUUGGUGGUAGACAUCCAUUUUCCUUACAACAUAAUAAUGGGGAGGCCCAUGCUAAACAAAGCCAAGGCCGCCAUCUCCACCUACCAACUCCUCUUGCAGUUUGAGACUGAUGACGGGAAGGUAGGAAAAAUUCAAGGCGACCAACAGGCAGCAAGAGAGUGCUAUGUGAAUAGCCUCAAAAAUAACGACGUCCAAAAGGACUCGGACAACGACGUCCAAAAGGACUCGAAAAAAAGAAAAUACGAAGGGGGUCAGCCCUCAACCAGCCUCGGGGUGUACAUAAAAUGAGAACCCCAAGCAAUACGAACGUCCUCAGCCAGCUGAGGAUGACGAAGAAGUCGCGAUCGGCCAGGACCCCGGUCGGACCGUCAGGGUAGGCAAGCUAUCAUCCAAGUGCUCACGGAGUACCAAGAUGUCUUCGCCUAUGAGGCCACAGAAAUGCCGGGGUUCGACCCGAAAAUCAUGUGUCAUGAGCUUAACAUCAAAGAGGGGUUCAGACCAAUCAAACAAAAGCUCAGACACCAAGGUCCCGAAAGAAAUGCCGCAGCAGCCGCAGAGGUCAAAAAGCUGCUCGAAGCGGGUUUCAUUGAAGAAUGCCAAUACUCGGAGUGGCUGGCCAACGUGGUAUUGGUCAAAAAGUUGAGUGGGGCAUGGCGAAUGUGUGUCGAUUUCACCGACUUAAACAAAGCCUGCCCAAAGGACAAUCACCCUCUGCCAAAGAUCGAUAGGCUGGUUGAUUCAACGGCAGGGCACGCCCUUCUCAGCUUCAUGGAUGCAAAUGCUGGCUAUCAUCAAAUUCCCAUGGCCGAGAAGGAUGGAGUUCAUACGACAUUUGUCACUCCUCAGGGUGUCUACUACUAUAAGAUGAUGUCGUUCGGCCUCAAAAAUGCCGGGGCUACAUAUCAGCGAACCGUCAACGAAAUCUUCAGCGACCAAUUGGGUCGGAACAUUGAAGUAUACAUUGACGAUAUGAUAGUCAAGAGCAAGGCCCAGUCGGAUCACCCUGCAGAUCUGAAAGAAACGUUGAGCACCCUAAGAAAAUACCGAAUGAUGCUCAACCCCAAAAAAUGUGUCUUCGGAGUUAAAGGGGGAAAGUGCCUCGGAUUUCUAGUGGACGAAAGAGGAAUCGAAGUCAACCCGGACAAAAUCAAAGCGGUCCUAGAGAUUAAAUCUCCUCGGAACGUUCGGGAGGUACAACGCUUAACCGGCUGCUUAGCGGCGCUCGGCCGAUUCCUCUCCCGGUCGGCUGAUAAGAGCUUGUUGUUCUUCAAGGCCCUGAAGCGAAAAGAGUUCGCAUGGGACGACGAAGCCGAGCAAGCCUUCACUGCCCUCAAGAAUCACUUGGCAACUUUGCCUAAACUGAUCUCCCCCUUGCCGGGGGAACCCCUGUUCAUUCACUUGGCUGUUUCGGACUACACUCUUAGCACUGUCCUAAUAGCCGAGCGAGAAGGAAAGCAACAUCCUGUCUACUUCAUCAGCCACGCCUAUAGGGGGGCCGAGGCGAAGUACAACGAUGUCGAAAAAAUGGUCUUUGCCUUAGUAAUGGCGAGCCGGAAGCUCAAGCCUUACUUCCAAGCACAUCCCAUCAAUGUCCUAACCAGACAACCGCUCCGGAAGCUCAUUGAGAAUAGAAAUCACUCGAGUCGGAUGAGCGAUUGGGCAGACCAGUUAGCAGACUUUGGGCUCGAAUUCGAGCCACGAAGGGCAAUCAAGGCCCAAGCACUCGCUGACUUCAUCACUGAAUGCGCAACUCGACCCCCGGUCGGUUCGCAAGAGGAGUGGGAGUUGCUUGUUGAUGGGUCAUCCACAAAGAGUGGUUGUGGAGCAGGGCUGGUCAUCAAGCCCCCGGUCGGAGAAAAAAUUGAAUAUGCUGUUAAGUUCGAGUUUCUCGGAUCUAACAAUGAAGCCGAGUAUGAGGCCCUCAUCCUCGGACUACAGCUAUGCAUCCUAGCUGGAGCAACAUCAGUCAUAGCCAAGUCCGACUCACAACUCAUAGUGGGUCAGAUUUCCGGAGACUAUGAGGCCAAGGAGGACAACAUGAGAAUGUACUUGGCCAAAGCCUGAGCUGUCAUUGGAAGGUUGUCCGGAUUCCGGAUUACCCACAUUCCUCGCUCGGAAAACCAGCAAGCUGAUGCACUGGCUCGGAUGGCUAGUUCUGCUGAAGGGUCGGCCCCUAGAACCAUAACUUGGGAAGUAUUGAAGGAGCCUAGCAUAAAUGCCAAAGAGCAGCUCGUACUCAAUCGUUCCUCGAACUGGAUGGGCGAAAUUGUGGAGUACUUGCGAGACGGGACCUUACCCAGUGAUCCUAAGGAAGCCGACCGGGUCAAACAUAAAUCAGGUUGGUUCCUCUGGCAUGAAAGGCAGCUCUAUAAGAAGUCCUUCACUCAUCCCCUCCUCAAGUGUAUAACCCCCGAGGAAGGAAACUAUGUCCUCCGGGAAAUACACCAAGGAGCUUGCGGGAGCCAUCAAGGGGGCAGAACGAUAGCCGGAAAGGCGCUAAGGGCAGGAUACUAUUGGCCUACUUUGAAAGCUGACGCCUCGGACUUAGUUCGGCGGUGUCCCUCCUGCCAGAUUCACUCGGACAUACCGAGAGCACCUGCCACUCCCCUCACCACCAUUCAAGCGGUUCUGCCCUUCGACAAGUGGGGCAUGGACUUGCUCGGACCCUUUCCCCCAGCUUCUGGGCAAAGGAAGUUCCUAAUUGUGGCUAUUGAUUAUUUCACCAAGUGGACCGAAGCCGAACCACUGGCGUCAAUUACUGACAAGCAGGUCCAGCUGUUCAUCUGGAGGAAUAUCAUCACCCGGUUCGGAAUUCCAAGAGCCCUGGUGUCGGACAAUGGCCGACAAUUCAACAGCGGGCCGACUCGAGACUAUUUUGCCCGGUUCGGCAUUCAAACAAGGUUUUCGGCCGUCUCCCGCCCUCAGACCAAAGAGCAAGCCAAAUCGGCUAACAAAAUUGUCCUUAAGGGAAUCAAGAAAUCCCUUGAUGCAGCUAAGGGGGCAUGGGUAGACGACCUUCCCGGUGUACUUUGGUCGGCCCGAACAACAGUGAAAGAAGCUACGGGGCACUCCCCUUUCGGCUUGGUCUAUGGUAGCGAAGCUGUUCUUCCGGUCGAGGUGGGAAUCCCUUCUCUUCGGAUCACAUUCUAUGAGUUUGACCAAAACGAGGAAGAAAAACCCGUCAACUUAGACCUGUUGCCAGAAACACGAGGCAAUGCUUUGCUGCGAGCCAUCCGGUACAAGCAGAAAAUCACAAGGCACUUUAAUAGGCGGGUAAAGCCUCGGCCAAUCAGCCUAGGUGACUGGGUCGUCCGAAAGGUGGAAGCCACCGGACUCUCCCAUCUCAAAGGGAAGCUGGGGGCAAAUUGGGACGGCCCCUAUAAGGUCACAGAGGUCAUCAAGCCAGGGACAUUCCGACUCGAAUCUCCAGAAGGGGUCCCCCUGGCUCGACCUUGGAACUUAGACAAUCUCAAAAGAUUCUAUGUUUAAUUUCUUUUUGUUACUUGCAAUAGGGGCAUAUUGUAAAACCAGCGUUACCUGGUCGGUUUAGCUAACAAAUUCAAAUGUAACUCGGACUUAGCCAGUCCAUGUAUCAAGUCGGGUUUCACCCCUUAAAUGAAAAGACUUAGCCAGUCUUAUUAUUUUGAUCAAAGUUGCAAACAGGACUUAACCAGUCCAUUGUAUAUUCAUAUGUUGUGAUAUUGCAAAAUAACAAAAAUAAAUUGCAUAAUGAACGACAAGUUGCAAAAUAGUAGUUGUAUUCCCAUUGAUCAGAUUUGCAAAAUACAACCAAAAAUUUACAAAAAAUAAUACAAAGAUUAAAGCAAAAAAGCCAACAUGGCAAAAGCUUAGAGAAAAAUCCUAAGGCAGCUUGGUAGAGGGGUCGGCAGCAGGUUGCUCGGUUGGAGGCGGCUCGGUGCUGGCAGCUUCUUCGUUAUCAUCAGCCUCGUCAUUCGAGCUCAUCUCUUCGGCCAUUUUCGCUUUAAUCUCGGCUGCCUUAGCCUCAGCCAACUCCUGAUAGCGAGACCAGACCGAAUUCCAGUCAGCUUCAGGGCAGGAGUCGGUCAGGGCUUCCCUGAGCUUGGUGAGCGCCUCAUCCUCGCCCAUCUUGUGGGCGGAUUGGCCCACCUCGGCGCAGAACUCGGUGCAGUCAUCCGAGGCCUGCCAGGCUUUGAACCACUCCUCCUGGGAGCGGGAAACGGCCGCCUGAGCCUCCUUCAGUUGGGCCUCGGCAGUGGAAAGCUUAAACUUGAUCCUCUCCAAGUAGCCCUCGACACGAGCUUGUUUCGACUCGGCCUCAACUUUGGCUGACUCGGCAUUCUCUUUGGCCAGGGUGAGGUUGGCUCUCUCCACUUUCCAAGCCUCCUUUUCUUGUUGCCAAGUUGCCUCACCCUUGUUGAUUUUAGUGUUGGCCUCCUCCAAUCGUAGCUCGGCCAGCCGCUUCCCCUCCUUGGCCUGAUAAAGCUCGUCGAAGUGUGACCGAGCCGCCUCUUUCAAGCUCUGGACCUCUUGCACCUGUGCAAGCCGGUCCUCAGCUACCUUUGUCAUCCGGAUGGAAAACUGCAAAACAAGAACCAGUUAGAAGGUGACAGUUAAGGGGCAAAAAGCGAAGUAAAACAACGGUACUUACGUCCAUACAGGAGCGAAAGAGCUCGCUCGACUCGUUCUUCCCAUUUACCGCGUUGAUAUGAUCUCGGUCGGUUUGGGUGCAAAGUAUCUCCAAAGCGUCGGAGAUCCUUCGUUUCUUGUCCGUUUUGGACAUCUCUGUGAACGGGACCGGCGCCUCAGACAAGGUCUGCUCGGUAUGAGAAGUCCCCUGCACGUGACUCGGACUGCGCACCGGCUCGAAGUCCUCCGGGUGAAUGGAGAUAUGGGUAUUGUCAUCCCCAGAAGCCUGGCGAGGGCUGUUCACCUCCACGGAAGGCUCUUGCCUUGCCUUCUUUGCCGAGGCCUCCUUCUCGGCUCGAGCCUUCGCCAAUGCUCUCUCCGUCAUCUCCACCCUCUCCUCGGUCCGUUCCUUACGCUUCCUCGGUUUAGGGUUGGAAGGGUCCUGAAAAAGGUUCAAAAAACCGAUAAGUCACAAGAAACCAACAUGGGAGUUACUCGGAGAAAAGAAAGAGAUCCAUACCUUGGGUUGAGGAGGCUUGUUGAUUUUGUUGGCUUUCAUUUCAGCCCUGAUCCGAGCGGCUUUCAGAGCAGCAGAAGUCAAUCGCUCGACCAGUUUCUUUUAUAUAAGCUAGAGAAGCUUCUGCAGAAGGAAAGAGACAGUUAGCGAAAUAUAACAAACAAAACAAAAAACAAGUCAACCAGACCCCCUUUUGCCGAAUUACCCUUGGGAAAAGCCGGGCUCAGGCCGAAUGCUGCCAAGAAGUGUUCAUCUUUAAAAAGUUUGCAGCUCGGGAGCCAGUUCCCCGCUACAAAAACUUCGCCGCCAUCCACUAUUUUGGCCUCUAGUUGCAUAUAGAUGGCGGCCACUGCUUCCUCCUCCGAUAGCUCGGGCACUUUGAAGUUCAGGCAGUGAUUGGGGUCGGCAGAUGGAGGUACGAUUGGGAUACCCCAUUCUCCUCCAUAAUAAACAAAGGCGAAUCCUCGGCGAAACCCCUUUUGAGAAGUGGGUAGGUCGAGGACGGUUCGGUAGCCUCGCCGAGCCUGGAAGCACCACCAACCAGGUCCAUGAUCCCCGGCAGGCAUCUCGAACAACUUGUACAUAUGCCGCCAAAGGGUGAGGGUCGACCUAACUCCAAUAAUGUCACAAAUUACCUGGACAGCCAAGAUUCCACCCCACGAGUUCGGAGAAAGCUGACCCAGGCAUAAAUUGUAGGCGUUCAGAAUGUCCUUCUCGAACUGGGUCAGCGGGAACCUCAAUCCCAUCUCCAUGGCCUUGUAAUAGAAGGCGGUGCAUCGGGAGGCGGGGUCAGGAUGGUAUGGCUGGCAUCGGGUCGGACCAGCAAGUAGGGGUCCUUUAUUUGAAACUUGGCCGCUUGGCCUCGGGCGUCUUCUAACAGAGCCUUUAUUAAUGACGGAAGGGGGAACUUCGCUCCCGGUCCGCCUUUGGGAUCAAUCUCCGGAUAUACAAGCCGCCCGGACGUCGAAGCUUCACCUUCUUCUCCCGGCAUAGUUAUCCAAACUACACCAUCAAACAAAUAUCUGUCUAAGUAACUCCUCGAAGAGGGAUAGGCCAGGGACACCUCCCAGGGUAGGGGGAUGGUACCCUCGGCCUCCUCCUCCUCGGCUUGCGAAGGAGUACUCGGGAGGGAAAGCGCCUCAGGCACAGCCGAGGGAUCCGGGCAACUUAUUAAAGUUGACACCAAUACCAUUCCCAUACCUCUCACAUCCUCGGCUAAAUUAUAAAGAGGUGAGGGAGGAGUGUCACUGACUCGGACGAGCUCCCCAUUAUUUAUCAACAGAAGGGGUCGGCCGAUUUUAUUAAAAGAAAUAGAAGAAAAACUUAGUGAAAAAACAAAACAAAAGCGUACCUGGUCGGACGAAGAAGAGGGAACCCGGACUUAGAGAGAGAAAGAGCUCUAAAAGUAGAGAGAGAAAGAGCAGAAAAUCUCAGAAUUUAGAGAGAGAGAGAGAAAUGAGGAAAUGGCAAAAUCUCUCUCUCCUCUCCCUAUUUAUAAGCAAAUUCCUCGGGUUCCGUGUCCCACGUCAAAACUUGGACCGGGACCUGCGUUUUCGCCACCUUAAUGGGCCUCUCAAAGAGCCCAAAACUGUUCAAAAAAAACAGCUCCAAGGAAUGUCAAUCGUCACAAAGGUCAUAAAUGACCAGAAGUUGAAUCGCCACCAUAUUUUCAAGCACCCCAAUAAUCCACCGUUGCCACGUGGCAUUUUGGUUUUCAAGAAACUAUUAAGUUCACCAGCUGAAGACUACUAGUUCAUCAGCUCAAGGUUACCAGCUCGGUCACUCCAGCCAGCGGUCCAACAUCUUAGGCACCGACUCGGACAAGCAUGGGGCUCAUUGGCCCCUCACUCGAGCCGCGUCCAACCAACUCGGCCAAGGAGGCUCUCCUCUUUGGUUGAGUAAGUCUCCUAAGUCCCAGAUUGACUUAGCGAGAGCAGGCACCGGCUCGGACAAGCAUGGGGCUCAUUGGCCCCUCAUCCGAGCCGCGUCCAACCAACUCGACCCAAGGAGGCUCUCCUCUUUGGUUGAGUAAGUCUCCUAAGUCCCAGAUUAACUUAGCGAGAGCAGGCACCGGCUCGGACAAGCAUGGGGCUCAUUGGCCCCUCAUCCGAGCCGCGUCCAACCAACUCGGCCCAAGGAGGCUCUCCUCUUUGGUUGAGUAAGUCUCCUAAGUCCCAGAUUGACUUAGCGAGAGCAGGCACCGGCUCGGACAAGCCUGGGGGCUCAUUGGCCCCUCAUCCGAGCCGCGUCCAACCAACUCGGCCCCAUGAGGCUCUCCUCUUUGGUUGAGUAAUUCUCCUAAGUCCCAUAUUGACUUAGUAAGAGUAGUCACCGGCUCGGACAAGCAUGGGGCCCAUUGGCCCCUAAUCCGAGCCAUGCACGAACAAUACCCCUCCAUUUCUCUAUGAGACCGGGUUGGCACGUAAGCUUCCCCUCUCUUAUAUGAGUCCGGGUCGGCACACACGUUUUCCCUCUCUCUUACGAGACCGGGUCGACAUGCACUUUUCCCCUCUCUCCCACGAGACCGGGUCGGCGCAUACGUUCCUCCUCCCCUCUAUGAGACCGGGUCGGCGCAUGUGCCUCCCCUCUCCUCGAAGGGACCGGGUCGGCACGUGCCACCCCUCUCCUUGAAGAGACCGGGUCGGCACAUGCCUCCCCCUCCUCAAAGAGACUGGGUCGGCACAUGCCACCCCUCUCCUUGAAGAGACCGGGUCGGCACAUGCCUCCCUUCUCCUCAAGGAGACUGGGUCGGCACACGCCACCCCUCUCCUUGAAGAGACCGGGUCGGCACAUGCCUCCCCUUCCCUCAAGGAGACUGGGUCGGCACGUGCCUCCCUUCUCCUCCAGGAGACCAGGUCAAUCUGGGCUCAGGGCUAUCUAGGUUCCGCCACGAACGGGAGACACUUCAGCAAGGCCUCGAUGUUUCCCAUUCCUGGCGUGGGGCUAAUUGUUUGGGUUAUUUCCUGGGCUAAGCCAGUCAGAGACACUAAACCCAACAAAGCCUUAAGCCUCCAGAGGGCCCCACCUGUGAUAGUGCCUCCCAGCUGUCAGUGCCCUCCAGCUGGGCUACAGUUGGGAUAUCCCAAGCACUAUAAAUACUCAACCCACUCAUCAAUGAGAAGGUAUUGAAUUCUUACCUAACAAACCAGAGCAUCUCUCUCUAGACUUUAUCUCUCUAAGAUUGAUCACUGACUUGAGCGUCGGAGAGGCGAUCCCGGAACAACCCCCGGGGCAGUCUAACCAUUACUUUUGCAGGAUUCCGGCGUACGGACUUUGGACUCAGGACAUUCAGAUCUGACCCGGUACUCCCUAAGCAAAGGAAUUAGCAUCCUCAAUUUCUAGACAGAAACACUAGACAUCAUUAGUUUUUGUUAUCUAUUAGAACUAAAUUUAACUAGUGGGGGAUAUUUAAGUUAAAUUAGUCGCUAAAUAUAAAUGAAAGUAGUUUUGAAACCCAUGCGUUGCACAAGUUAUUGUUUAUUUUAUUUUUUGCAAAUUUUUUGUUAACAUUGUUGAUUUUUUUUAUUGUUGUGAAAUGAGAUUUUUCAACACCAUUUUGUUUAUAUAAUUUGUCCAUUCUUUUUCUAUUGCAACAAUUAUCACUUUGGGUAGUUUCAUCUAUUAGAAUCAUUCCACUUUUGUUAAAGAAAGCAACUAUAAUUGAUAACAUCGCCUUUACUUGAUAUUAGUAAAAUCAUCAUUAAUUACUCAAAUUACUUCAAAAAGUUGUGUUUACUUUAUUAAGGAUUUACUUAUCCCCUACUCUAGUUAACCUCUCUAUGCUAGACUAUCCAUAUUUUUUAUUUUCUUAAAAAACAUGCCCAAACUCUUUCUUGUAGUAGAAAAAAGACAUAGAAAGUAUUUGUCAUUAUACUUUAAUUUCUAGAUUUGUUAUAUAAAAUUUUAUAUUUUUAAUGUCCGGUUAAAUAUUGUAGCUAAGUCGAUUAUUAAAUAGUAUCCCAAUAAUUGGUAUGACUAACAAUAGCUAACACAGUUUUAACAUGGAAAAUACCAUAACUAUUAUUAUAUUUAUCUAAAAGAAAGACUAAAUAAUGUCUUACCAUUUAUUUAGUUAAAUAUAUUUUCAUGAGUUGUAAAACUAUAUUGUAAAUGAAUCUUAUUUUGAAGUAUAUUUUAAGCACUCUCAAAUGGCAAUUUUUUUAAUGUUUUGAAUUAGGUAAAGAAAGUUAUAUUCAAAAUGGAACUCUAAUUUCUUGUAUCCAAAAAUCCUUUUAUGGAUGUAAAUGUAUGUAAAACUCUAUUUUUCAAAAUAUUUAAAAUAAAAAUUAAUGACAUGACAAUCCUACGUAGCGCUCUCUGUCUUAUAAUUUGUAGAACUAUAUUAUAGAUGGAUAUUAUUUCAAAGCAUAUUUCGAGUACAAUCCAAUGAAACAAAAAUUAAAAUAUUUCGAAUUACGUAGCAAAAGUUAUAUGCAAUUUACACAGUAUAAUAAUUUAGGUUUUUGAUGCAAAACCAUUUUUUUUUUUUUUGAAAGAACCAAACUCUGAUAUUCAAUUUACAUAAUAUAAUACUUUAGGUUGUUUAUUCGAAACGAAACUCUAAUUUCUCGUUAUCCAAAACUCCUUUUAUGUAUUUGAAUAUAUGUAGAACUCUAUUUUUUAAAAUAUUUAAAAUAAAAUUAAUGACAUGACAAUCCUACGUGGCGCUCUAUAUUUUAUAAGUUGUAGAACUAUAUUGUAAAUGGAUCUUAUUUCAGAGCAUAUUUCAAGCACUAUCCGAUGGAACAAAAAUUUAAAUAUUCCGAAUUACGUAGCAAAAGUUAUACGUGAUUUAAUUAGUAUAAUAAUCUACGUAGUUCAUGCAAAACCAAACUCUUAUUUUAGCUUAUCUGAAACUCAUUAUAUGCAUUUAAAUCUAUGUAGAACUCUAUCUUUGUAAAGGUUGUUUAUUCAAAACGAAACUCUAAUUUCUCGUUAUCCAAAACUCCUUUUAUGUAUUUGAAUAUAUGUAGAACUCUAUUUUUUAAAAUAUUUAAAAUAAAAGUGAUUGAUAUGACAAUUGUAUGUGGCGCUCUCUAUUUGAUAAGUUAUAGAACUAUAUUAUAAAUAUAUUUUAUUUCAGAGCAUAUUUUGAGCACUAUCCAAUAAAAUAAAAAUUAUAAUAUUUCGAAUUACGUAUCAAAAGUUAUACACAAUUUACAUAAUAUAAUAAUUUAGGUUGUUCAUGCAUAAUCAAACUCUAAUUUUAGCUUAUCUAGAAUUCCUUAUGUGUAUGCAAAAGAUUGAUGUUCAAUAACGGCAUAAAGUCAUGACGAUUAUUCAUCCAACAAAUCCGGUAACCGCCCGCGGCCCCGGACAAAAAGAACUAAACAGUCCGUUAAAUUAAGUAAUUAACCCGUGAUCAUCCUAUUAUAAGGCUCUUGGUUUGAUCUUGACAUCUUGCACCUUCUCUUUCGCAGCGGCAUCUUUUUCCUUAUUUUCCCAAACUCGUAUAAUUCUCUCCAUUGUCAACCCCACUCAAAUUAAUUUUCCAAGAUAAAUUUCUCCUUUAUUUCAUCGCCGCAUUAUCAUAUUAUUACAAAAACACAGUGAAAUUCAGCACUCAAGAUUGGUUCAAGAGACGCAUACACUAUGGGAGAAGAAGGAGGAUAGUUUUGCAACCUUUUGUAGAGAGGAGUACAAAAUUGACGCAAUUUUGGAAAGAAAUCUACAAUAUAAUUUAAACAUCCCAAAAAUCUUUGAAGUUGGGUUUGUGCUUUAUCUCAUCAGGAAACUUAUUAGCAACUCAAUUGCUCUAUCAAUUGGUUUGAUUGUCCCUUGAUGUAUAUCGUAGCCAAGAAAUCUACUUUUGUUUGAAAUAACUUCAUCUUUGUGGCCGAAACUAUUAAUCCAUUUUUAUUUGCUACAUUGAAAAAUAUUUGAAGAUUUGUUGAAAUAUUGUUCUAUUGAGGUUGAAAACACUAGAACAUCAUCUAUGUAAACUAUAAUAAAAUUUGUACAUUGAUUGAAAAUAUCAUUCAUAAUAUUUUGAAAAUUUAAAGGAGCAUUAAAGUCUUAAAGUCAUUAGAUUCCAUUCAUAAUGUUCAAAUGGAAAAGUAAAAGCUGUUUUGUACAUGUUUUCUUCUGCAACUUGAAUUUGUCAAAAUCCAGACUUCAUAUCAAAUUUUAAAAAUAUUUUUGCAUCAUAAAGUCUAUUAGUAAAUCUAAUCUAUUUGAAAAGGGAUAUCGAAUUCAAAUAACUUUAUUAAGAGGUUUAUAAUUAAUAACUAAUCUAGGAACUCCUUUUUAUUUCUUGUAAUACUCCGUAUUUUUCGUAUUAUUAAUUAUAAUUUUUAAAAGAAUUUUAAUUAUUAAAGAAGUUUAUUAUUAAUUAUAAAGGUUUUAAAUAGGUUUUUAUGAUAUAUUAUGGGGUUUUCAAAUAAAUUCUAUCCCAAAUUAUAUAUUGGGCCUAAGUUUACAAAUUAUAAUAUAAGUAGUUAGUUUAGUAUUUAAGAUAUUUCUUAAAAGAAAAUCAUAAAAAAUUUACAAAAAGAAAAUAAAAAGAUUUAAAGAAAUUUCAAAAAAAAAAAGAAAAAAAUAAAUUUCCGCAGCAUCAAUCUGACGAUUAUGUUUCAUGAGGACUUAUCUUUUAGUUAUUUUAUCUUAGAUAAUUAUGUAUUAUGAUAUAAUCUAUAUCUUUUCCUAAUCUUAGUUGGAUAAGCAUAAAUAUUAGUUAUAUCUUAGCUAGAUUAGUUUAUCUUUUUCCUAAAUUUAUCUUCUAGUUUCCUAUUCCUAUUUAGAUUCUACUUUUUCAACUAGUAUAAAUAGGGGACUCCAGCCAUCAUUUUUUCACACCAAAUUUGAGAAAUACAUCUGUUUUCUCAAAUUUAAACUCUCUCUCCCUCAUAGCGUACCUUCAUCUUCCUCCGUAGUACUUAUUAAUUUUCAAGGUGCGUGUAUUUGUAGAUCUUUAAUAAUUGUUUUGCAAGUGCAAUAUCAUGUUUUUAGGAAAAUAUUUUAGAUUGAAAUACAUGUUUUUAUGAGUUUUAUUAUGAACUGCAUCUGUUUUAUAUGAGCAUGUUUGAAUGUUUACAAAUUUUAUUUAUGAACUUUGAAUUAUUUCUUUCAUUUAAUAUAUUUAUAAAGUUUGAUAUUUGAAUUUAUAUUCAAAUAUCUUAGAAGGAGUUUGAUCUUUUGAUUCAUGUUUAAAUAUUUAAAAAAGGAGUGUUUUUGAACUAUUAUUAUUUUUCAAAGGUUAAUCCUUGAGCAAGUUAUUUUAUUUAUGCCUUUAUAUGGCUAAUUUUUAAGAAUUAUUGUUCUUUUUAAAGGAGGAUUGUUUCAGAAGGAUUUUUAUUAGUUAUAUGAUCUUUUAUGAUCACAAUUAUAAAGAGGCAACGACUUGUUAUUUAUUAGCAAGAACGGUAGCCAUUAUAUUAUUUACCCAUGUACUUUUUGUAUAAGUCAUGUGGACAAUGUAGUAACCCCUCGUAAUAGACUCAGUAAGGAAUACUAAACUUGGGGGGUGUGCACACUUUAGGCAAGGAACCUAGGCAAGUAAAAUGAGUUUUUAUUAAAGUUAUAUACAGUAUAUUAUACAAGUAUUAUCAAGUAUCCAACAAAGAUUUUUCGAAAUUAAAUAUUUUAAUGUUUAAUUAAAUAAAGUGUUUAAUAUUCCACAUAUACAUGUACUCAGUAUUUUUACUGACACGCUUUUAUUUGUUUUGUUUUAUGGCUUUGUCCCUGUGAUGAUCCUAUUUUCGCGAGCAAAUUUUACAAGCUAAUAUGAUGCAUACUUCAUAUGGGAGAGCUAGUGAGGAAUCAAAAUUAGUCAAGGAGUUGUUAUUUUAUUUUUCUUAUUUCUAUUGUUAUGUAAUUGUACAAUAAAGUUAUUUCAAUAAAGAGAAGUUAGUUCAGUUA